rnacentral:rRNA from 1 species
UACAGAGGUCCCAAGCGUUGUUCGGAUUUACUGGGCGUAAAGGGUGCGUAGGUGGUCGGGUAAGUCUCAUGUGAAAUCCCGCAGCUUAACUGCGGAACGGCAUGGGAUACUAUUCGGCUCGAGGAUUGGAGGGGGGACUGGAAUUCCAGGUGUAGCAGUGAAAUGCGUAGAUAUCAGGAAGAACACCCGUGGCGAAAGCGGCUCUCUGGAACGGUACUGACGCUGAGACGCGAAAGCGUGGGGAGCGAACAGG